AGCAUGAAACUCCGUGUGGCGGGCGUCCCUAGUAUUCUAAGGUAGCACAGAGCCUGGGGAGGCUGUGAGCUGGGACAGCAGCUGCGAUUGGUGUUAACCUUUUGAACAAAAGUGGGAGGGACAGUGAGGGACCAGGCUGGAAGGGGGUUGGAGGUGGGCCUGGGCUUGGGAUCUGCUCAUCUGUGUGUCUUUCAUACUCAGGGUCACAUCCGGGAUAUUACAGACAGCCUGAUAGAGCACUGUGAGGACAGGAAGCUGGAUGAGAAUGCCAAUAUUCAGCUUUCAGACCACAAGAUCAUUAGCAUUGUCCUUGACCUCUUUGGAGCUGGUUUUGACACAGUCACAACUGCCAUCUCCUGGAGCCUCCUGUACCUGGUGACGAACCCAAGGGUACAGAGAAAGAUCCAGGAGGAGCUGGACACAGUGAUUGGCAGGGAGCGGCGGCCCCGGCUCACUGACAGAAGCCAGUUGCCCUACCUGGAAGCCUUCAUCAUGGAGGUCUUCCGACACUCCUCCUUCUUGCCCUUCACCAUCCCGCACAGCACCAUAAGAGACACAAGUCUGAGUGGCUUUUACAUCCCCAAGGGGCGCUGUGUCUUUGUGAACCAGUGGCAGAUUAACCAUGAUGAGUAAGUUGUAAGGGGCAGCGGAAACUCUUGGGUGGGCUGGGCCACCCUCCCUUGGGCUCAGAUCCUUCUGUCUAUGUGCCAUUUUCCCAUCCCUGUCCUUUGGGGCCCAACCCACUUAAUGCUUCUGAACCCCAAGCUGUCCCU